rnacentral:rRNA from 1 species
GAUGAACGCUGGCGGCGUGCCUAAUACAUGCAAGUCGAGCGAACCACUUCGGUGGUGAGCGGCGAACGGGUGAGUAACACGUAGGUGAUCUGCCCAUCAGACGGGGACAACGAUUGGAAACGAUCGCUAAUACCGGAUAGGACGAAAGUUUAAAGGUGCUUCUGGCACCGCUGAUGGAUGAGCCUGCGGCGCAUUAGCUAGUUGGUAGGGUAAAGGCCUACCAAGGCGACGAUGCGUAGCCGACCUGAGAGGGUGAACGGCCACACUGGGACUGAGACACAGCCCAGACUCCGACGGGAGGCAGCAGUAGGGAAUCUUCGGCAAUGGGCGAAAGCCUGACCGAGCAACGCCGCGUGAAUGAUGAAGGCCUUCGGGUUGUAAAAUUCUGUUAUAAGGGAAGAACGACUUUAGUAGGAAAUGGCUAGAGUGUGACGGUACCUUAUGAGAAAGCCACGGCUAACUACGUGCCAGCCGCCGCGGUAACAC